ensembl:lncRNA
CUGCCAUAUAUAUUAGUCCUAUAACAGAAGAUGUGAAUGACCACAUAGAAGAGAUAGUGGUUAAUUUUGACUGGGUGAUUAGGAACUACUUUCCAGAGUAGGGUCCAUUUGAAUUAUUUUGACAAGCUGAAGAAGAAAGGAGGAAUAAAAGCCUUGAGUCUCUUGUUACACUUCAGAAAUUCAGUCUAUAGAAAAAUGGAGGAAGGCACCAUCUUCCCUCCUACGUGCCUUCGCUCUUCUCGGCAAAAGGAGGCUGGUGUCUCCUUCCAGCCCACCAUCCGUGCCCUCCUGUCCACCCCGAGCCAUCUUCGAUCCAUCCUCUUGCCAGUCGGAUCGCCCCAGUGCCCUGAGGCCGCUUCACAGGUCUCUAGAAGAGUUUAAACUGUCAUUCCGUCCGCGGCCCUUCCGCCAUUUUUUGUUGGUGUCUGUCUCCACUGUUUCCCAAUCUCAGUCAGGGAAUCAAGAUGAAGGCGGGGGACGUGGGUGAAGAAGACCGGGAAAGCGGGCAGAGCUCUCCCGAAGGAGAUAAAAUGCAGAUUAGCCUCUGUGAUGUGUCUUCUGAAGAUUUUUUUUAAAAACCUGGCUAACACUAAAAGAGCUCCAUGACAGAGAGCCACGCCGACUUCAGCGGAAAGUAACCAGUUUGAGGAAAGAGCGAUUGUCAGACGGGAGGUGGACAGGCUCCAUAUCCAGAAUUAAAGAUUUGACGGAGCAACGGAGAGCCCUGAAUGACACUAUCCAUGACCUGCGGGCUCAAUUAAAUGCCAAAGUAUGUGAUCGCUCUACAGUAAACGAAACAUACAGAAAUAGGCUACAGCAAGAAUUUUAUGAUAUCCAACAACAAAAUCUGUAAUUUACUGGUGAGCUCACAGCAGAAAGGAAUAAAUUAAGAGAAGAAAACAAGCAGCUUUUGGCUAGGCUCAAGAGGAAACAGCCACAGUUUCCCCGUUCUUUUUCUGAUAGUGAUGACGACUUCGCCCCUAGGCCUCUAAAGAGCGAGUCAGUUAUUUUGAUCAGGGACUCUCCACCCGGACCUCAGAGGCAUGUGGCUGUCAAACUGAUGAUGCAAACGAUCACCAAACAGAGGAAAUCUAGAGGGAAAAAGAAACAGCCACACAGUUCCCCGUUUCAGGUUCCAUUUUAUAGUCAGGACGUCUUUGAGGUGCCAGAGAGCCCUCAGGAGAAGAUUUCCUCUAACAGCAGUAAGACUAUCACAAUAAGCAGUGGCAGUCAGAAGUCAUCUAGCCCUGUUCCUUCAGCGUCUACACUCGGCCCUCAAACAGUGUAUGGAUUUCAAGAUGACUCCAGCCUUCCUGAUGCCAGGCGUGGCCAUCCACAAAGCAAAUCCAUUCUCACACAGAGGACCUCCCCACAGAGGAUCUCCACACCAAACCGUGGAACUGAGAUUGAGUUCCCUUGGAGCCUUUCCAAUAUUUCUCCAGGAGACGACCUACCUACUGAAAUAUUAUCUGAAAUUUCAGAGGAAAGUAUGAUUGAUUAUAGCAAAAGCAUAUUUUCUCCUUUUACACGGAGAGACGAAAACACCACUUUACAUCUAUUUCCUUUAGACUGUACUUCAAGAUCGAAUGUGAAAAGACCAUCAUUUGGUGUUUUUCGCGUUUCAAUGAGAGAGAGCAGUAGCCAGUGAACAGUCCACAGCAAGGAAGAAUACGAAUGGAGCUACAGGUGCAGCCCAUGAUGCUUAUAAGCCACAAGACAAAGAAUGUUACUUGCCAUAUCAGCAAAUAACGGUUGUUUCCGUGAUCAAGCCGUCAGCCAUUGCCACUGGUAUGAUAACUUGCACUUACUUCCAUUAAGGGAUCUUCCAGAGCCCCUGUAUCAGUCUAGCAGGUCUCGUUGGAAGCUUCCAGCUCUUCAGAUGCUGAACGCAGUCCAUGGCUCAGUCACCGACCCCUCACUAUUUUCCUUUCAUAAUAAAGUGUCGAAUUUUUAUGUUUAAGCUAUGUUUUAUUAGGAGCUUCCUGAGCUUUCUUUCCAUGGAAUUUCUGUUUCCACUUCUG